rnacentral:rRNA from 1 species
UACGUAGGGUGCAAGCGUUAAUCGGAAUUACUGGGCGUAAAGCGUGCGCAGGCGGUUUCGUAAGUCUGACGUGAAAUCCCCGGGCUUAACCUGGGAAUGGCGUUGGAGACUGCGAGGCUAGAGUUUGGCAGAGGGGGGUAGAAUUCCACGUGUAGCAGUGAAAUGCGUAGAGAUGUGGAGGAACACCGAUGGCGAAGGCAGCCCCCUGGGUCAAAACUGACGCUCAUGCACGAAAGCGUGGGGAGCAAACAGG